rnacentral:rRNA from 1 species
UUAGAUCUCAAAUCAGGUAGGAUUACCCGCUGAACUUAA